UUGAACGCUGGCGGCAGGCCUCACACAUGCAAGUCGCGCGGAUGAAGGGAGCUUGCUCCUGGAUUCAGCGGCGGACGGGUGAGUAAUGCCUAGGAAUCUGCCUGGUAGUUGGGGAUAACGUCCGGAAACGGGCGCUAAUACCGCAUACGUCCUGAGGGAGAAAGUGGGGGAUCUUCGGACCUCACGCUAUCAGAUGAGCCUAGGUCGGAUUAGCUAGUUGGUGGGGUAAAGGCCUACCAAGGCGACGAUCCGUAACUGGUCUGAGAGGAUGAUCAGUCACACUGGAACUGAGACACGGUCAAGAAUCCUACGGGAGGCAGAAGUGGGGAAUAUUGGAGAAAGGGCGAAAGCCUGAUCCAGCCAUGCCGCGUGUGUGAAGAAGGUCUUCGGAUUGUAAAGCACUUUAAGGUGGGAGGAAGGGAAGUAAGUUAAUACCUUGCUGUUUUGACGUGACCAACAGAAUAAGCACCGGCUAACUUCGUG
rnacentral:rRNA from 1 species